UGGAACCAGGGUCGAAGUCUUCCUCUGAGCGGGAGCAUGGGGUUUGCCACAGGGGCCCCAGAGGAAAGAGGUCAGCGGGCCAGAGGCAGCUGAGAGGUUUUAGGUGAUGGGGACAAAGGCGUAGCCACUAGCCAUCUAGUAAUGUGGAAGUCACUGAGGGUAAUAUGGACACGCUAAAAGGAUGAGAUGUGUCCAUGGUGUGUUUGUCCACCAGACUAGGAGCUCCCUGGGGUCAGGGAGCGUCUGUUCAUCUUGAUGUCCUCCAGCGUCACUGGAUACUCGGGGCUGGCCCAUGGCAGGGGCUCAGCUUGGUGAGUGGCAGGCCCCAGAAGGGCCUCUGAGCAGCUACUGACUCACCCGCCUUCCCCCAGCCAAGCAUCCCGCCCAGAGCAGGGUCAUUCCAGCCAGGCCAGGACACAGUGAGGACACUGGGCCAGCCCUGGAAGUUCAGUGAACUCUGAAUCAAUCUACGAAUCAUCCCGUCAGCAGAAAUCUGCCCAACCUGGUUGCCACAGAACAGCCUGUGUACCGUCAGCAGAGAAAACCAAAGCCCAGAGAUUAAAGCCACUCUGCUGAGGUCACACCGUGAGUACCUGCCCAGUUCUAUUCAGUGUUGCGCUGGAGCCAAGUCCCACAAGAGCAGACUGUGUUCAUUUCUCUCCACUCCGCAUUCCGUGUCAGCGUGUUGGUUUGAAAUCAGUCAUGA